GACGAACCGUGCGAACGUUAUUCGGAAUCACUGGGCUUAAAGCGCGUGUAGGCGGGGCGGCACGUCGGUCGCUGAAAGCCCCCGGCUCAACCGGGGAACGGGCGCCGAUACGACCGCCCUGGAGGGACGUAGGGGGACCUGGAACUUCCGGUGGAGCGGUGAAAUGCGUUGAGAUCGGAAGGAACGCCCGUGGCGAAAGCGAGGUCCUGGACGUCUGCUGACGCUGAGACGCGAAAGCCA
rnacentral:rRNA from 1 species